rnacentral:rRNA from 1 species
AUGUUUGUUAGGCAUAAAGAGAAAGAUAAUUUUCAUGUGAGGCUGCAAGUUGAUGUGCUUGAGCAGGCAUUUGGACCUAGGAUGAUGGGUGCAACAUCUCGGGGAGAACCAAGUCGUCGUAAUGGCAUCUCUAGCCAGAACAGUUCAGUUGGUGCACGGCGACGUGGUGGCUCGACAAGUGUGGGCAACAGCAGUAGGGCCCCCCUUGAAGUGGAGCAUGAUGACUACAAUUCUGGGGUUGAUGAAGAGAAGCUAUAUUCUCAUGUUAUUCGUAAUUUACGACGGGCACCUCGGGCUGAUAACCAAGAUGAGGCUCACAAUGCAGUCCGUGUGGAUGAUGACGCGGUGGGUGAGGACGAAGACCUUGCAGCUGUUGAAUGGGACCCUUUGAACCCUAAUUUGGAAGAAGGUAUAGUUUUUGCAUCCAUGAAUGAGUGUAGAAAUGCAGUUGUGACAUACUGCAUCAAGGUAGAACGUACUUUCAAAGUUGACAAGAGCAAUCAAGUACGUUACAGAGUGCACUGUCCGACUGAGGGUUGUCCAUGGAGGUUGCUCGCAUCUAAAAUGCGAAAUAGCACUAAUGUUCAGGUCAAAGUGAACCCUUUUAAGCACACAUGCCAGGAAUCAACCCUUAGGAAGGAUACAAUCAGUAGAGCCAAGUCAAGAUGGGUGGCAGAAGAAGUAAAGAAGUGGGUGAAGGAAAACCAGCAAGUGGGUCCAAAGGAAUUGCAGAAGAACAUCAAAGAUAAAUUCAAGAUAGAUUUACCAUACAUGAGGUUGUUCAAUGGUAAACAA